AGAGCGAACGCUGGCGGCAGGCCUAAUACAUGCAAGUCGAACGCACCUUCGGGUGAGUGGCGGACGGGUGAGUAACACGUGGGAACGUGCCCUUUGGUUCGGAAUAAUCCGGGGAAACCUGGCCUAAUACUGAAUAAGCCCUACGGGGGAAAGAUUUAUCGCCAUUAGAGCGGCCCGCGUUGGAUUAGCUAGUUGGUGAGGUAAAGGCUCACCAAGGCUACGAUCCAUAGCUGGUCUGAGAGGAUGAUCAGCCACACUGGGACUGAGACACGGCCCAGACUCCUACGGGAGGCAGCAGUUAGGAAUCUUGCGCAAUGGGCGAAAGCCUGACGCAGCCAUGCCGCGUGAAUGAUGAAGGUCUUAGGAUUGUAAAAUUCUUUCAGCGGGGAAGAUAAUGACUGUACCCGCAGAAGAAGCUCCGGCUAACUUCGUGCCAGCAGCCGC
rnacentral:rRNA from 1 species